UCCGGUUUGUCACCGGCAGUCUCCUUAGAGUGCCCAACUAAAUGAUGGCAACUAAGGACAAGGGUUGCGCUCGUUGCGGGACUUAACCCAACAUCCCACGACACGAGCUGACGACAGCCAUGCAGCACCUGUCACCGCGUCCCCGAAGGGAACCCCUGAUCUCUCAGGAUAGCGCGGGAUGUCAAACGCUGGUAAGGUUCUGCGCGUUGCUUCGAAUUAAACCACAUGCUCCACCGCUUGUGCAGGCCCCCGUCAAUUCCUUUGAGUUUUAACCUUGCGGCCGUACUCCCCAGGCGGUCAACUUCACGCGUUAGCUUCGUUACCAAGGAAUUGCUUCCCCGACAACCAGUUGACAUAGUUUAGGGCGUGGACUAC
rnacentral:misc_RNA from 1 species